rnacentral:lncRNA from 1 species
AUGCGGCGGCGGCGGCAAGAGGGUUCGGCAGGCGCCCGUCCCGCCCACGGGUGCGUGGGUCCCUGCGGCGCCGCCUCCGCCGGCCGGCCGGCAGAGGUUGAGCAGAAGAUGCGGGCGGGCCCCCCCGCCCCCCUGGCGCGUCCCCGCCUCGGCGAUGCACCGCCCCCUCUCCGACGCGACCGGGGCCUCGCCCCGGGCUGGGACGGGGGAAGGGGAGAGUGGCGGGCGCGGCCGAGCGGUGGGCCACCGGGGGGCGGCCCGGCGGCCGCUUUCCCAGGGGGGCCUCGGCGGUGCGCUCGUGGCGCUGACGCCGCCCGGGCGGCCCCGGUCCGACGGCCGCCGCGCCUCGCGGUCGUGGCGUGCCGGCGGAUUGGCGUGCCGGCCGGUGCGUGGCCCUUGCGCUUCCCCGCCCCACCUCUCUCUCUCCGCCCGCGUUCCGGGUCGACCAGCAUUCCGCCGCUGGAUUCGACCAGCCACGUAUGCGUGGGUGGGGAGAGAGAGCGAAGGUGCGGCGGCUGGAGGUCGGGCGCUGGGCCGCGCCAGGCUCGGGGCGGCGCGGCUCUCGGGGCUCCUGGGUUCCGUAGGCCCCGAGGGUCCCCCCGACUCGUAGCCGCGAGGACCCCGGGGCCGCCGCCCUGCCGGGCCGACCACCGUCCCGUCCCGGACUCGGACCCCGGGUCCGGUGGUGUAGGGGUCGACCAGAUGUCCGCGCCGAGCGCCGCGCAACGCUGGGGCUCUCGGUCUUCUCGGAGCCCCGAGGGCUCCGGGGACACCGCAGACCAGCAGCCCCGGGGCCUCCGCCACGUCGGGUCAACCAGCAGCCCAGCCCGGACUCGGCCCCUGGGCCCCUUGGCGCCCGGGUCGACCAGAUGUCCGCACCGAGCGCCGCGGGGCUGCGGGGUGCUCAGGCUUCUCAGAGCCCCGAGAGCUCCGCGGACAAGUAGCCGUGAGACCCGGGCGGCUGCCCUCCCCCCGGCUCACGGGGCGCUCGUGCCCAUCAGCUGGUCGUGCGGAAAUCCCGUGGUUGGCCUCCCUCCCUCCCUCCUCCAGCCGCACGUUUUUGGGGUUCAUGCGGCUAGAAUGAAAUAG